rnacentral:tmRNA from 1 species
GGGGGCGAACUGGAUUCGACGGAGACAAUGAGACUAAGGUCGCAUGUCGAGGCUCCACCCACCUCGUUAAAAAGGUGGAAACAAAGUAAGUGCAGAACCACUUCAAGUUGCUGCCUAAAUUGUAGGCAUGCCGUUUCUCUUGCACCUUCCUGCAGUGCUUGAGAAGCGUCGACGCGCAGGAUAGCGAAUCAGGCCCGUCCUGAGCCCGGUAAGCGAACUCCAUCAGGGCUGGUUUCACGGUGUCUUUCCUUUUCAGAAGCUGUGGAAUGAGAAAAAGGAAAAGGAUAAGCAUGUAGAAAGCUUUCGUUGAAUGUCUUCGGACGCGGGUUCGAUUCCCGCCGCCUCCAUUA